rnacentral:rRNA from 1 species
UACGUAGGGGGCAAGCGUUGUCCGGAUUUAUUGGGCGUAAAGAGCGUGUAGGCGGCCAUACAGGUCAGCUGUGAAAACUCGAGGCUCAACCUCGGAACUGCGUCUGAAACUACUCGACUAGAGUACUGGAGAGGGUAACGGAAUUCACGGUGUAGCAGUGAAAUGCGUAGAUAUCGUGAGGAACACCAGAGGCGAAGGCGGUUACCUGGACAGUUACUGACGCUCAGGCACGAAAGCAUGGGGAGCAAAAGGG